rnacentral:ncRNA from 1 species
UGACCUCGGAUCAGACGUGAUUACCCGCUGAAUUUAAGCAUAUUAUUAAGCGGAGGAAAAGAAACUAACAAGGAUUCCCCUAGUAACGGCGAGUGAACGGGGAAGAGCCCAACACCGAAUCCCUUGGCGCAAGCAAGUCAACGGGAAAUGUGGUGUUAAGGUAGCCCUUCGUGUCAGUCUAGGCGUCUCAAGUCCACCUGAUUGUGGCUCAAGCCCAGAGAGGGUGUAAGGCCCGUAGAGACGCUCCGACUGAUUCCUGGGGUUUACCUACGAGUCGGC